UCUGACUUAAGACAAUGAUUGACAGACAGAAGAACGUGGCCAGAAAAAAAAUGCAACAGAGAGGAUUAAAUGAAAUAUAACUAGGGAUGAGCUACUUUUGAUAAUAAUCUGGAGCGGGGAUGAAAGUAGGGAAAACGGACUUAGACGGCCCAUUGAUCGCUGUUGAUGGUGGGUGAUGGUGACGGCCCCUGGGGGUUCCUUUUACUGUUCUCUCUACUUAGGUUUACACUGAAAAUUUUUUGUGAUGAAAAGAUUUGAAGAAGAUGACAGGAGACGGAGAAGCACCAGCUGAUCUGCAGACUCCAAGGAGGUCCCAGGAAGAGGUGUCAUCCACUAAGAUCUUCUGGGACAGGAAAGCCCUGUGAUACCUCUUACAUCACACCAAACAGAGCCCCACACCAAGAAAAGAGCUGCCCACACCUCACAGAAGCCAUGUUAGUGGACAUUUCUCCACUCUGGAAGCCUUCCUGCGCGGUGGAGGCCAGUGCAGACCAUCCUCUGCCCAGAAGAGCUGCAUUCUAAAUGACCCCUCAGAGAGCCCUCUGGAUGGCCG
rnacentral:lncRNA from 1 species